UUGACGACCAUAGAGCAUUGGAACCACCUGAUCCCAUCCCGAACUCAGCAGUGAAACGAUGCAUCGCCGAUGGUAGUGUGGGGUUUCCCCAUGUGAGAGUAGGUCAUCGUCAAGAUU
rnacentral:rRNA from 1 species